UACGAAGGGGGCUAGCGUUGUUCGGAUUUACUGGGCGUAAAGCGCACGUAGGCGGUUUGUUAAGUCAGGGGUGAAAUCCCACAGCUCAACUGUGGAACUGCCUUUGAUACUGGCAAGCUAGAGUCCGGAAGAGGUAAGUGGAACUCCUAGUGUAGAGGUGGAAUUCGUAGAUAUUAGGAAGAACACCAGUGGCGAAAGGCGGCUUACUGGUCCGGAACUGACGCUGAGGUGCGAAAGCGUGGGGAGCAAACAGG
rnacentral:rRNA from 1 species